rnacentral:rRNA from 1 species
GAUGAACGCUAGCGACAGGCCUAACACAUGCAAGUCGAGGGGCAGCAUUUCCAGCUUGCUGGAAGAUGGCGACCGGCGCACGGGUGAGUAACGCGUAUGCAACCUGCCUUAUACCGGGGGAUAGCCCAGAGAAAUCUGGAUUAAUACCGCAUAAUAAUUAGAAUCCGCAUGGACUUUAAUUUAAAACUCCGGUGGUAUAAGAUGGGCAUGCGUAACAUUAGCUGGUUGGUAAGGUAACGGCUUACCAAGGCAACGAUGUUUAGGGGGUCUGAGAGGAUAGUCCCCCACACUGGUACUGAGACACGGACCAGACUCCUACGGGAGGCAGCAGUGAGGAAUAUUGGUCAAUGGACGCAAGUCUGAACCAGCCAUGUCGCGUGCAGGAUGACGGCCCUAUGGGUUGUAAACUGCUUUUUUACAGGAAUAAUGUUAUCUACGCGUAGAUAUUUGAAGGUACUGUAGGAAUAAGGAUCGGCUAACUCCG